rnacentral:lncRNA from 1 species
GGGUAUGAUGACUAUAGGUGGUAGUUAAAUGAUAUAACCUUAGGCUUGUUGAUUUGAGGAGAAAACAUCCCUAGGGAGUUUUGGCCCAUUGAAGGGUUUGCUGUAAAUGAAAUUUUGUCCUUAGGGCAUUGAGCCCUUUGAUGGGUAUAUAAUGAAGGUUGGUCGUCUUUGUGACUUCAGAUCAUUAUGGUAUAAUGAUAUUUCUUACAUCACUCGGGCAUAUGAGUUAUCUAACUUUGAAAUGAUAAAUGAUAUGUAUGGAUUAGGAGUGGACAUGAUUUGCUUCCCGUGUCCUAGUUAAGGUACAUUUUAUAUGUAUUUUUGGUACGUCUAUGGAUCAUAACCCUAUUAGGUCUUAUUUAAAGUAGUCUCGAUAAAAGCUCUAAACUUAUAAAGGUCAUCAUAUUGCAUUCAAUCUUAAAAGAAAGGAAACCAAAAAUCAAGGGUUAGUUACAAGAAGAGACUAGCUCCUCAAGCGACUAAUUCAUAUUACAUGGAAAGAAUCUGGAUGGUCCAUCAUGCCAAUACCAUAUGUGACAUGAGGCCACUUACCAGCAAAACAUAUACCUCUUCAAUCUCAAACUUAAUCUCUAAUAUUUG